UUCAAUAAAAUCUAGAAACCAAUUCCAUCAAAAAUCUUGUGAAUCAAACACUACAUUUUGGGUGGAAUGGAAUUGGGUGAAUCAAUCACGCCCUAGAUGUUGAAUAAGUCAUUUGUUUUCAAAAGUUUAGGAGUAAGUUUAGUGGAAUUGGUCUUUUGUUUGGUGAACAAGUUUAGGAAUGCAUUGGUCUUUCAGUUUGAUUAGUUGAGGAACUUUAGGAGAAUUUCUCACCGUAAAUUGCACUUAUAUGCUGUUGAUACAUACAACCAGCACUCUUUUCAUUCUUUGUUUUUUCUUUGAGUUCUUCAUCAAGUAAUAAAACUCAAUUGAAAGAGCAUCCCUAUUGGUUUCCUACUCUAUUUUUCUCUGUUCCUUUUUUCAGCUUCACUGGUAUAUUUAUUUUCUGUAAUACUUUGUUACAUGGUAUUAGAGCCAGAUUGCCAAUCAAAUGUUUGAUUCUAUUACCCAGAGAAGAUGAAUGGUGGGUGCAGUGCCUAUGUAGACAAGCUCGUUGGUAAGAAUUAUUGUAACUGGAAGCCAUGCAUGGAAGCUUAUCUACAAGGGCGGGAUUGUGGGAACUUAUCUCUGGUGAUGAUGCAAUUCCAGAGGAUACAUCACAUAAUGCUGAUUUAAGGAGGAGAAGGAAGAUAAAGUGUGGCAAAGCUUUAUUUGCUUUGUGAAUAUCGAUUAGUAAAGAGUACAUCGAGUAUGUUCGUGAUGAGAAGUCGCCAAAGCAAGUGUGGGAGACACUUGAGAGAUUAUUCACUCAAAAAAACAUGAUGAUUUUGUAGUAUUUAGAGAAUGAACUUGCUGAAUUAGAUACGGAGGAACCUGUGAGUGAUGCUAGUUUGUGUCGUUGAGUUGGCAAAUCUGCUCUCAAAUCAGCAAAUACCAGUGAAACAAAUAUUCAGCAACAAACAACUUCAUUAAGUAGAGGAUGUAAAGAACAUCCAAGGACUAAGGGAAAAAGAAUUCAUCCUUAAAGCAUUUUGUAGGCAAUAGAAACUAGUUCAAAACUGAGGGGCAGUUCAAGGAAAAUUCAAAUGUCGAUAAUAGAUGUGCAAAGCUGGGACACAUAAAGCGUGAUGGCUGGGUGAAAGUGGUGUGUAAUCAGUGUGGAAAAUUAGGCCAUAUCAAAUCAAAUUGUUGUGGUAAUUAGAAGGAAAUGGGAGCAAAUGUUGCACAUGAAAGCGAAUUUGAAGAAUCAGAUUGGGAAAAGUGCUUAGCCAUUGAAGUUAUUGAUCAACCAACCAUUGUAACUUCUGUUGUGCAUCAUACUAACGCACUUACAGAUGCAAAUAUUUUCAUUGACUACAACAAGGAAUGGAUUAUUGAUUCCGGGUGUUCUCAUCAUGCAACGGGAAAUGAUGUGCUACUAUUUGAUGUUCGUCCGCGUUGUGGGAAAAAGGUAUGAUAGUUAAUAAUUCAUUACAUCCUGUAAUGAAAGGAGGACUUUUUAAAGAAGGUAACUCUAAUGAUGGAGGCCUUUCUUAAAGGCCUAUAUCAUGUUCCCGGCUAAAAGAAAAAUCUUCCCUCAAUUUCUCAAAUAACGUAUUCAGGAAGGUAUGCUCUUUUUGGUCCAAAUGAUGUGCAAGUUCUUUCUAAUGUGAAGCAUAUUGAAGUUGAUAUUUUGUUUACUGAAAAUGAAAAGAAUCAUUAUACAUAUUGUCUAUAAGUUAUGCAAAUGUUGAAAAGGCAGGUCAGAAUGCAGGCAUGUUCAUUUGGGCCAUGUUGGUUAUCAAAUGCUACAGAAAAUAUCCACAAAGAAACCUGUUGAUGGUAUUCCUGUUUUUAAAGAUAUUCAUCAUGAUGUAGUUUGUCCCGGUUGCCAAUAUGGAAAUUCUCCUCGUCUUUCUUUCCCAAAUUCAAAAAAUAGAGCAUCUACUAUGUUACAUUUGGCCCAUUCAGAAGUCUUGGAGCCAACAAGAACACCUAGCUGCACUGGUUAUCAUUAUGUGAUGGCCAUUGUGGACGAUUUUUCUCGGUUCACUUGGGUUUAUUUCUUGAAACACAAAAGUGAGGUUUUCUCCAAAUUGAUUCAGUUCAAACAGGAUGCAGAAUAAGGAUUUGGGCUACUAAAGUGCUUGCGCACCGACAAUGGACGAGAAUAUAUGUCCUAUCAAUUUCUAAAUUAUUGCAGGCAACAUAGGAUUCAGCGUCAAAUGACUUGUCCAGAAACUCCACAACAAAAUGGGAUUACCAAACAUAAGUUAGCUCAUCUAACAUCUAUGUCUAUAUUAUGGCUACAUGCAAAGAGUCUUCCAAGAGAGCUGUAAGCUGCAGCUAUUCAGGCGACUUGUUAUGUCAUCAAUCGUUUACCUCCAUGGUUGGGGAAAGAAUCAUCUCCUUUUGAGUUAUUGUACAAUUGCAAACCUAAUGUAAGAUAUUUUUCAGUUUU